rnacentral:sRNA from 1 species
GGGGAUGAAAGGAUUUCGACGGGGAUUCUGAACCAUGAUAAGCGAGCAGCGGUGCGGAACCGCUAUAAAAUCCGCAACUUUUAAAAAUAAACGACAAAAACGUUUCUUUACAGGCUGCCUAAUUAGGCACCCGUUCUUACCGAAAGUACUGCGGUUCGGAUAAGAACGUCGAUUAGCAGUGAACGUGAACAGCCCCAUACCUCUAAGGCUGUCAUGACUCAGAGGCUGCCAAAGCUUUAAGCCUGCCUUUCGGCGUGAAGCUGCGGGAGAUUUAAAAGAAAGGAUACGCUCGUAGAAAGUUGUGGCAAGGGGUUUUCGGACGCGGUUUCGAUUACCGCCAUCUCCACCA